AGCCACAAAAGAAGCAUCUGUGCUUAGUGAUUGCCUCUUUUGGAGUGUUUGGUGAGCCCUCGUCUUUGGAAAGGGGAUAUGUGGAAAUGAUCCAUCCAGGAAGAUAAUGCCACCCCAGCCCUGCACAAGAAGCCUAUGUUGUGAGCACAGAGAUGCUUCGUAUCUCUGAGGACAGCAGUAACAGUAAGGGAGGAGAAAACAGACAAAAAAUAAUAGCAUAUUCCAGAGAAACAACUUUACUUUUUCCACUUUAAGUUGAAGCAGUGCAUUGUUGAAGAAAAGCUAAGCCGGAAUAAUUCUUCACAGCUCAUUUUUACAGAAGAAACCCAAAACACAGAUUCCUCAGUCUUUCUAUGUUGUCUACCUCCUUGCUCAAAUUAUGCAGAUAAAGAGAGAAAGUGUGUGGGCAAAAGAAAAACGAGAGGCCAGGAGCCUGCGUGGCACUGGGGAAACCCAGAAAGGUGUGACCUUUAUCUCUGUGCUUUCAUUUUCCUGCUGGAAGAAAGGUGCAAUCAUCUUUCCUUGUAGAAGUGUUGUGAAGAUGCAUGUAUUCAGACUUUGCAGAACUGUAGGAAUAAAUGAUAAAAUAUUCAGUUUGGAUUUGUGGUUUAAAUAAGGCCCGCGAGCCACUGAUUGCAUGCUGUAAGUAGAAAGAGGUCUUCACUGGGCAAGGCCAGCACCCAGUGGAAGACAUAGGAAAGGAGCAUGUACUUAAAAACCACAUCCUAAUGCACAAAUAAAU